rnacentral:rRNA from 1 species
GAUGAACGCUGGCGGCGUGCCUAAUACAUGUAAGUCGAGCGAACGGACGAGAAGCUUGCUUCUCUGAUGUUAGCGGCGGACGGGUGAGUAACACGUGGAUAACCUACCUAUAAGACUGGGAUAACUUCGUGAAACCGGAGCUAAUACCGGAUAAUAUUUUGAACCGCAUGAUUCAAAAGUGAAAGACGGUCUUGCUGUCACUUAUAGAUGGAUCCGCGCUGCAUUAGCUAGUUGGUAAGGUAACGGCUUACCAAGGCAACGAUGCAUAGCCGACCUGAGAGGGUGAUCGGCCACACUGGAACUGAGACACGGUCCAGACUCCUACGGGAGGCAGCAGUAGGGAAUCUUCCGCAAUGGGCGAAAGCCUGACGGAGCAACGCCGCGUGAGUGAUGAAGGUCUUCGGAUCGUAAAACUCUGUUAUUAGGGAAGAACAUAUGUGUAAGUAACUGUGCACAUCUUGACGGUACCUAAUCAGAAAGCCACGGCUAACUACGUG